ACUUUAACAAAUCUUGCAGCCGCACACUCUUUGGGUCCGCCCGUUUCUCUAAUCAAGUUGUAACACUCGCUGCUGUGGUCCACAGCUUCAUUCCUUGAAGCCCGUGAGACACGAACGCUUCCAUUGAGAAAAACCUUCCAUCAGAAGAAGACUUCUCGUCUCAGUGGGACUGCUGAGUUGAAUGGUGCUUUUUUUUCUGAAGCUUUGGUAGUGUAACUGUAAGAGUCCUGGAAUUGGAAAAGCAAAUCCAGAAGUUGAGUUCCAUGACUUUUUUGCUGUUUGCCUUUGGACUUGCAUCAUUUAUAUUUUUAAUUCAUCGAGGAUGAGAAAAUUGAUUAACACAAAAUCUUUUCAUGUCUUUUCUGAUGAGAGACUAGCUGAAUCCAAGAAGAGAAGCCCUUGAAGAGUGUAUUCUAUUCUAGACAAGCAUUCACACAUUGGCUUCUUUGGUGCCAGCAUGUUUCUGAUCAGCAUGAAAACUGCGCAGGAGCUUUUCUGUCUUGCAGAGCUAGUUAAUGAGAUUGUUGCUGCCUUCAGAUUCUAUAAAGGACUUCUCCAAUAUUGGAUUAAAGAAUGAAGAAAGGAUCAAAUUGAGACAUCCAGGGGGGAAGAGUUCCCUGGCAAAACUCCAAUCUGCCUGAGCACUGAGGUGGAGCCACAGAAGUCCGGGUCAUUUGCACCUGGGAGGAGCCUGGCCCCUCCUCUUCCUGUGUGGAAUCUGGGAUUUAAUCUGUGAGGAGGGAAGGCCAAGGGCAGGAAGCACAGGCUCUCACUUCACUAAGAGUCUCUGUUUCCCCUUUUUUUCCUUUAUGCCUAAUUAAUAAAUCCCAUUUUUCUCACUCUUCAAAUAGUCUUCAAGCCUAAAUUUUCAUGACCAUGGAACAAGGACCCCAUCUUUAGCUGAACUAAGGAAAAGUCCUGCAACAAAAUUCUUUGCUAAAAAUACAUGAGGUUGCCUUUUCCUUCUUAAUCUUAAAAGAAAUAUAUUUCAAUGGUUAACGUUUUAGUAAUUCAAAAAUUAUCAAGCAUUUGUUCACAACCAUAAGAUGUGCAUUGUUUUAUAUUCCUACUUAAUAAUAGACUAUAAUUGUCUAAUUAGACUGCCGAUGUUGAUCUUUGUGGCUCAUUGCAUUGAUUAUAAGCAGUGUUUUGGGUUUGUGUGUGUGUGUCAAAUUUAGGGUUUUUUUGGUAUGGCUGCUGGUUGGUGUAGCCUGUAUCCAGUAUCCUGUAUUAAUUCUAAUAUUUGCAUUUUGAACAUAUUUACAAGUUGCUAAAAUAGCAAAGCUUCGAGAUGAGCCUGGCUGAUAUGGCAAAACCCCGUCUCUACUAAAAAUACAAAAAUUAGCCUGGUGUGGUGGUGCAUGCCUGUAAUCCCAGCUACUUGGAAGUCUGAGGCAGGAGAAUCUCUUGAACCCAGAAGGUGGAGGUUGCAGUGGGCCAAGAUCGCACCACUGCACUCCAGCCUCGGUGAUAGAGCGAGACUACGUCUC
rnacentral:lncRNA from 1 species